GCCUUUGGCCAUACCACCCUGAACGCGCCCCAUCUCGUCUGAUCUCGGAAGCUAAGCAGAGUCGGGCCUGGUUAGUACUUGGAAGGGAGAAAGAAAGACCAUACUGAAUUCC
ensembl:rRNA 5S_rRNA 5S ribosomal RNA